UUAUCCUGGCCCAUGCUUUCCCUGGACCCCUGUGCUUAGCUCUGACAGGGUGUGUGUGGCAGGAUGCACAGCAGUCUCCUCUCAGUUUAGGAGGGGCAUCGCAAGUAUAGGGCCAACUAUUAAAGGCAUGAGAGGACAAU